UAGAGUAUUAUCCAAAACCACUCAUAGAUAGGCAAUGCCACGAGUAUGGUUGCUGAAGUAUGGGAUAUUCACUCAGGUUAUUCCUGGGACAUAAAUAGAUUGUUCAAUUUCAUUAUGUUUAUCGAAAGAUGAAUUCUGUUGCUGAUAGAUUGGCCAAGCAAGCUGUUUUAUCACUGCUCAUCUUACUUGUUUUGUAUUUCCUAUUAUGGAAAGAUGGUUAUAAUCAGCUUUUUGGUGAAAAGCUGCUUAUAAGCAACUUUUUUGUGAGAGAGGAAGUGGGUUAUAAUCUGGGAAGCGGAUCAUAACCCACUUCCCAAAAUAGGUUGUAUUUUUCGACACACUUGAGAUGGCUACCCCCACAUUGUGUAAUUAACAUUUCCUUAUAAAUAAAUAAAAUUCACCUUUUAGAUUUA